rnacentral:rRNA from 1 species
GGCGGGCCUUGUUUAAGUCCAGAAUGUGAAAAGCCCGGGGGCUUUAACCUUCGGGAAUUGCAUUUUGAAAACUGGCAGGGCUAGAGUUCUUGUAGAAGGGGGGUUAGAAUUUUCAGGGUGUAGCCGGUGAAAAUGCGUAAGAGAUCUGAAGGGAAUACCAGUGGCGAAGGGCGGCCCCCCUGGACAAAGACUGACGCUCAGAUGCGAAAGCGUGGGGAGCAAACAGGAUUAGAUACCCUGGUAGUCCACGCCGUAAACGAUGUCUACUUGGAGGUUGUGGCCUUGAGCCGUGGCUUUCGGAGCUAACGCGUUAAGUAGACCGCCUAGGGAGUACGGUCGCAAGAUUAAAACUCAAAUGAAUUGACGGGGGCCCGCACAAGCGGUGGAGCAUGUGGUUUAAUUCGAUGCAACGCGAAGAACCUUACCUACUCUUGACAUCCAGAGAAGCUUGAAGAGAUUCGAGUGUGCCUUCGGGAACUCUGAGACAGGUGCUGCAUGGCUGUCGUCAGCUCGUGUUGUGAAAUGUUGGGUUAAGUCCCGCAACGAGCGCAACCCUUAUCCUUGUUUGCCAGCACUUCGGGUGGGAACUCCAGGGAGACUGCCGGUGAUAAACCGGAGGAAGGUGGGGACGACGUCAAGUCAUCAUGGCCCUUACGAGUAGGGCUACACACGUGCUACAAUGGCAUAUACAGAGGGCAGCAAGACCGCGAGGUGGAGCGAAUCCCAGAAAGUAUGUCGUAGUCCGGAUCGGAGUCUGCAACUCGACUCCGUGAAGUCGGAAUCGCUAGUAAUCGUGGAUCAGAAUGCCACGGUGAAUACGUUCCCGGGCCUUGUACACACCGCCCGUCACACCAUGGGAGUGGGCUGCACCAGAAGUAGAUAGCUUAACCUUCGGGAGGGCGUUUACCACGGUGUGGUUCAUGACUGGGGUGAAGUCGUAACAAGGAACCG